rnacentral:rRNA from 1 species
GAUGAACGCUAGCGGGAGGCCUAACACAUGCAAGCCGAGCGGUAUUGUUUCUUCGGAAAUGAGAGAGCGGCGUACGGGUGCGUAACACGUGUGCAACCUGCCUUUAUCCGGGGGAUAGCCUUUCGAAAGGAAGAUUAAUACUCCAUAACAUAUUGAACGGCAUCGUUUAAUAUUGAAAGCUCCGGCGGAUAGAGAUGGGCACGCGCAAGAUUAGCUAGUUGGUGAGGUAACGGCUCACCAAGGCGAUGAUCUUUAGGGGGCCUGAGAGGGUGAUCCCCCACACUGGUACUGAGACACGGACCAGACUCCUACGGGAGGCAGCAGUGAGGAAUAUUGGUCAAUGGGUGCAAGCCUGAACCAGCCAUCCCGCGUGAAGGACGACUGCCCUAUGGGUUGUAAACUUCUUUUGUAUAGGGAUAAACCUACCCUCGAGAGGGUAGCUGAAGGCACUAUACGAAUAAGCACCGGCUAACUCCGUGCCAGCCGCCGCGGUAACAC